rnacentral:lncRNA from 1 species
AUUUUCUCAUCAAUAAAAUUGUGGCUUCACAGAGAGAGGACCCUGCCCACACCCCGGCUGCUUCAAGCCUGACCUGACGCCUUCCUGUGACCUGCGAAUACGACUUCCUAGACAAGGGUGGGGAUGGCUGUUUGCCAUCUAAAUCUUGAAAAGUACUUUUGGCUUAUCGGGUCAACUUGACCAGAAUGCACGAAUGAUCAAGGAGUCGCCCAGGUGUGCACCCCGGUCACAACAGUGAUGCUCAAGGGCUCUCCAAAGGAGGCAGGCUUGUGUGGACCCCAGAGGGACUCCUGAUCAGAAAUUGCAGAUGAAAUUUCUUACGGGUAGAGUUUAAAAUCGCUCAGGAAAAGCACUCAAAAAGAGUUGCAAGAUCAUGGAGUGAAUUCCAAGUGCUUUGUGCCUUGAGAGCACUGAACCGAUACGGUGAUAAGAAUAAUGGUUGGAGACCAGGUGUAAUUCUUCAAGUCUCAAAGGAAAUCACAGAAAAUUUCCAUUUUGGCAGCUGAGAUAAAAAUGAUCAAGGAAGAAGAGGUUUUGUCUGUUUUGUGUUCUAGCCCUUUAGAUAGAGUGGCUCAUUGCUUCCUAGUCAUAGGGAGCUGGAGUCAAUGCAGAAUGGGUUACCGGCCCCUCUCCUGUUGCUUCGAGUGUGGUUAUAUUGCAGAACAACGAAGCAACAUGCCUGCAAACUUACUGCAGCAAGCUAUCACCAGGUAAAAUGAUUUGGUGCGGAGUUUCUAUUAGAGACACUCAUCCCCAUCAGGACUGUGUUGCUGACAUUUUAGAUUGGCCCCAAUUUCCCUUAUGUAGAGUGAAAAUGCUUUGCUCUUGAGAACACGCAUUUUCUCAGUCAAAGAGCCUGCAAAAUCUUUGUACUUAAUUGGUUUGAUGUAAAAUUAAGGGUAAGACUGUUUGGCAUAUAAAGAAAUGAAAUCCUAUUUCCAUCCAUUCAUAAAAGAUAAAUAAAACUUGGCAUGAAAUAUAGCUAACUGCAGGAAAUGGAAAAUCUUAAAAGAUGUGUAUUAUUUGAGCUUUCUGUUUCAUUUUAAGGCAUGUUUUGGGUAAAUUGGGGGCAGUAUUGGCUGGGUCCAGAGUAAAUUAUACUAACUUUGUCCUUCUCUGUCUGGUAUGUAGGGAGUCUCUGUUCUGGUAGGUGGUGUUGGGACUUUGCAGAAGCUGAAGCUUUCUAGGCUCUGAAGAGACAUUUUUCUCCAAUUCCAUUAAUGUGAAAUGCCUUUUCUUUGCUUUCCCCCCACCCAGUAUGCAGCUUAAAAGACAGACAGUCACAGUUUUAAGUGUGAUCCACAGUGGUCAGAAAUUUGGAUUCCAUGUCAAAAUACAGAACUGUCAUCUCCUCAACUUAGAGUAUUUCUGAAAGUGAGGAACACAGUAGCACCUUUGGAAUGCAGAUCACUCAGACAACUUCCACCCCAAAUAUUUCCCAAUUCUGCAUGCAAAGCAAGCUGGGGCUUAGCUGUGUGGAACAGCCUUGCACCUCGUGCCCACACACGUCCCUCCUGAUCAGGCAUCCUGGCAAAGAGAGUCUUUAGUGAAAGAAAGCGUACUUCCUUCCCACUCUCCCCACACUGCUCCUCUCCUUCCUCUAGAAAGUAAACAUGUACAUGAUUAAAAAUCCCCUGAGCUCUGCACCUCACCAAGGCACACCCAUCUCUUCCUCAUUGUGGACUGAAAAGGCUCAUCUCAGGAGUUGAGACUGAUAUGGAGAACUUGAAUUAUGCAAGCCUGCGGAGAACCCGGCAUGGACAUGCUCUUAGGGGGUGCUUUAGCUCUUUUUAUUGAGACCCCCUAGUGGGGAGCCUGCUGUAUAUGCAGGAAUCCACACUAUGAUGCUCAGUUAGUGAAAUCCAUUGGACUUUCUUGAGAUGAAGGUUCUCCUUCCUAGAAAAGGAGCGCUGAACUCAUCUGUUUUGAUCAGGAGGGCUGCUGAGGUUGGGAAGAAGAGAAUGGCUGGAUUCAGAAAACUGAGGUUAUUGGUGUAUUUAUCCUACAUGUAAAAUUUCAGGAGGGUUGCUAACAAUAUCCAAAUGUUGAGUGGUUUUGAAACACAAGGCAUCAGUAAAAUUCUUUUAAGGUAAAAUCAAACAAAUCCAUGUUAUAAAAAGUUGUUUUAGGUUAUUUUCCUCCCAAUAAGAAUUUUUCUAGAAAAUUCAGUUCUCUCCAGAACUUCGUUUACAAUGUAGCAGGUUGCAGUUCUUCAGCUUGUUAGAAAUUACCCAUUCAUAACGUUUGACAUUGUGUCUUAAGACUGCCCUUGGGCCACCUUCCCUUGGCGCUCAGUGCUGUGGUGUGACUUGGAUUCCUUUGGUCAGGGUCCUUGCAGAAUACUUCUGCCAAGGCGGGGGUUGCUUAUGCAUGAGAGACAGAACUAGAGUACCAGAGUGUGAAAUUCUCCAAUAGAGGAGACAUUGCAUCUAAGACAAUAUUUUCAACCUGUUUCUCCACAAAUACUCUUUUAUUUUUAAAACUGAAUUUGCUAAACUGAAGCCAAUUGGCUUGUGGAUUAUGUAGCAACUACCAAACCAAAAGACAGAGAGUUGACAGGGAGAGAAACAAUGGGUUUGAAUGUCUCACGCUGUAUAGACUCCAUCUUUGGAAAUUCAGACAUAUCUAUAUCUUUGCAUCCGUUUAAUAUGCAACAAUCUUAAUAGGAAUAAGCAGAUGAAUCUAAUUUCACUUUUUCUGGCCUCUUCUGCUCCCAUCCUCUUCUGUGUCUGGUAUACAUCCAGGACAUUGUGUGAAAUUGAUACUUUUCUAUACUUUCUCUGCAAAAUAUUUUACGUUUCUGGGUAAUUAUGGUAUGCACAAUAGAUAAUUUUAAAAAUUACGGUUUCUAGGUCAAAUUAAUUCAGUUUUCUAUGUGAGAAAGAUGAGAAGCACAGAGAUUCUGGUUUCAAAUUUUAACAAUGCCAAAGCAUUAUUAACUAACUGGUAGGACUUGUGUUUUGCCUAUUGGUGAGGAGAAGUUUCAAAACAGUCUUCUGCAGUUCACAUUGGCAUCCAGUUAUAACAAAGAACUAACAGCAAGCAGCAAGUUGGUUUUGUAUUAUAAAAAUAUCAAAAGAGUAUUGAUUUGGGGGGAUAUUUUUUCUUUGGGAUUUUGCUAUGUAUCCAUAUUUCAAAGUAUAAAAUAAUCUUGUUCAUCAAAAUAUGUACUUGAUGAUCACCAUUGCCCAUUUUUUUGCAUCUAAAGUUGGUUUGAGUUGAAAAUUAAUAUUCACUAAUUUUUUUUUUUUAAUUUUGGCCGGGCAUGGUGGCUCAUGCCUGUAAUCCUAGCACUUUGGGAGGCUGAGGCGGGCAGAUCACCUGAGGUCAGGAGUUCGAGACCAGCCAGGCCAACAUGGUGAAACCCCGUCUCUACUAAAAAAACCCAAAAAACAAAAAACAAAAAUACAAAAAUUAGCCGGGUGUGGUAGCGCACACCUGUAGUCCCAGCCACUUGGGAAACUGAGGCAGGAAAAUCGCUUGAACAUGGGAGGCAGAGGUUGCAGUGAGCUAAGAUUGUGCCACUGCACUCCAGCCUGGCCAGGUGACAGAGCAUGACUCUGUCUCAAAAAAAUAAAAUAAAAAUAAAAUUUUAUCUACAUGUCUUUCACAUUCCGGUGUAUGUCUUCAAGAUAACAGGUUGUGUUCACUGUAUACCUUUCUUUGCAAAAUGACAAUUACCGAACCCAUAAUAAUAUAACAUAAGCUGGACACAUACUCGAGGGUUGAGCGUUGGUCUAGUGAAAAACAGCUCUUAAGGUGAAAUGCUGUUGAACUAGUCCAAGAACCCAAAGUUCAAAUAUUGUUGACUCUCAGUAAGUUGGAAUAAAGUAAUAACCUUCUGAUGUUCAGAGAUAAUCAUCUUUGACCCCAACAACAUGAGCAUUUUGAAAAUCUUAUUUUCUCCUCCAAUGGAAACCGUAGACAAUGCGAGUGUACUCUCCCCAGGCCUAGAACGAGGUUAUUAGGUAAAGGAGUGCCAGCUAACGAUGAUGGUGCUGGAGCCAGAGAGGCCACAGAGAAAGGAGACUGGGGUUGGAACCCACUGCUGUUCACACUGGAGCACACACAUGCCCAGGCUGAGCCAGCAGGAGUGGGUCUCGGCCAGGGGUGAUUCAACACUCCUGAGUGCUACUACACCCAGGGCUGCAAAGGAAAGAUACAGAAGGACUAGAGGCCUGAGAGAGCAUCUCAGACAUUCACGUGCACAUUUUACAGAUUUCUUUGCAAGGGUAAUCAG